UACGGAGGGGGCUAGCGUUGUUCGGAAAUACUGGGCGUAAAGCGCACGUAGGCGGUGAAGUAAGUCAGAGGUGAAAUCCCAGGGCUCAACCCUGGAACUGCCUUUGAAACUGCUACACUAAAAUCAUGGAGAGGUCAGUGGAAUUCCGAGUGUAGAGGUGAAAUUCGUAGAUAUUCGGAAGAACACCAGUGGCGAAGGCGACUGACUGGACAUGUUUUGACGCUGAGGUGCGAAAGCGUGGGGAGCAAACAGG
rnacentral:rRNA from 1 species